UUUGGUUGUCAAACUACCAUUUCUUUCUUUUUGUAAUGAGGGGAAGAAGUGACAAUAUUUACACAGAUUAUAAAAAGCAUGAAAAAGAAAGGAAAAGCAGAGUGUGAGGGAAAGAGAUGGAAAAGACUGUUGUCCAUAUUUUCUUCCACAGAAAGACAACACUGUGAGAUUUGAAUGGACUAGUGCGGAGACACAGCUGGAGGAAACAGGGGAGAUCCUAAUAAAAAGAGCUGUAGAUGUGGUAAACACCCCUGUGGUUUGCCGUGUUUCUAACCCCAUCAGCUUUGCCAUCAGUGACCCUGUUAUACAAAACUGCUUCACGCCCAAGGAGGAGGAGCUUCGUUUGCAGAUCCCUCAGUAACAGCAGCAACAUCAGCAUCAGCUGUAGUGAGCUGGCCUGCAACACUCAAAUAACUGAUCUCCACCAUCACGACCAGCAGCAUCCCAGAACCUCUGAGUGAGACAACAGAAAAAAUAUAAUCAUUAUCCAGCCUCAGUGCUGAGAUGAAACAGUGUGAUUAGUGUGUUUACACUGACUGUAUAAACUGGGUUAAAUGUGCACACAAUAAUGGAGCAGGUUAAAGGAAAUGAAUCCAUACAGGCAAUCUAAUCUAAAUCUAAACAAGUGCUAAUCAGUAUUUGAUCAACAUUAAUGGACUCAUUUUUAUUAAAGACUCAUGUGUUACAGUGUUUUUAAAAGAUACAUUAUUAAAACUACAUUAUUAUUGGAA